AGAGUUUGAUCCUGGCUCAGAACGAACGCUGGCGGCGUGGAUAAGACAUGCAAGUCGAACGAGAUUUUUCGUUGUAGCAAUACGAUGGAAAAUUUAGUGGCGAACGGGUGCUUAACACGUGGGCAACCUGCCAGGAAGUGGGGGAUAGCUCGCCGAAAGGCGAAUUAAUACCGCAUGUGAUUAGAGAGGACAUCCUUUCGAAAUUAAAGUCGGGGCAACCUGACGCUUCUUGUGGGGCCCGCGGCCUAUCAGCUAGUUGGUGAGGUAACGGCUCACCAAGGCUUUGACGGGUAGCUGGUCUGAGAGGACGACCAGCCACACUGGGACUGAGACACGGCCCAGACACCUACGGGUGGCAGCAGUCGAGAAUUUUUGACAAUGGGGGAAACCCUGAUCGAGCGACGCCGCGUGGAGGAUGAAGGUCUUCGGAUUGUAAACUCCUGUCAUUGGGGAACAAUGCACAGAUAUUAACUGUAUCCGUGUUGAUAGUACCCGAAGAGGAAGAGACGGCUAACUCUGUGCCAGCAGCCGCGGUAAUACAGAGGUCUCAAGCGUUGUUCGGAUUCAUUGGGCGUAAAGGGUGCGUAGGCGGCGCGGUAAGUCGGGUGUGAAAUCUUGGAGCUUAACUCCGAAACUGCAUUCGAUACUGCCGUGCUUGAGGACUGGAGAGGAGACUGGAAUUUACGGUGUAGCGGUGAAAUGCGUAGAUAUCGUAAGGAAGACCAGUGGCGAAGGCGGGUCUCUGGACAGUUCCUGACGCUGAGGCACGAAGGUCAGGGGAGCAAACGGGAUUAGAUACCCCGGUAGUCCUGACAGUAAACGGUGCACGUUUGGUGUGGGAGGAUUCGACCCCUUCUGCGCCGGAGCUAACGCGUUAAACGUGCCGCCUGGGGAGUACGGUCGCAAGAUUAAAACUCAAAGAAAUUGACGGGGGCCCGCACAAGCGGUGGAGUAUGUGGCUCAAUUCGAUGCAACGCGAAGAACCUUACCAGGCCUUGGCAUGCAUCUCUAAGUU
rnacentral:rRNA from 1 species